GACGAACCGUGCGAACGUUAUUCGGAAUCAUUGGGCGUAAAGCGCGUGUAGGCGGUCCGGUAAGUCCGCUGUGAAAGUCGGGGGCUCAACCCUCGAAUGCCGGUGGAUACUGUCGGGCCAGAGUGCGGAAGAGGCGAGUGGAAUUCCUGGUGUAGCGGUGAAAUGCGCAGAUAUCAGGAGGAACACCUAUUGCGAAGGCAGCUCGCUGGGACGUAACUGACGCUGAGACGCGAAAGCGUGGGGAGCAAACAGG
rnacentral:rRNA from 1 species